rnacentral:rRNA from 1 species
GACGAACGCUGGCGGUGUGCUUAACACAUGCAAGUCGAGCGGUAAGGCCCUUUCGGGGGUACACGAGCGGCGAACGGGUGAGUAACACGUGGGUGACCUGCCCUUAGCUCUGGGAUAAGCCUGGGAAACUGGGUCUAAUACCGGAUAUGACUCCAUGACGCAUGUUGUGGGGUGGAAAGCCUUGUGCGGCUAGGGAUGGGCCCGCGGCCUAUCAGCUUGUUGGUGGGGUGAUGGCCUACCAAGGCGACGACGGGUAGCCGGCCUGAGAGGGCGACCGGCCACACUGGGACUGAGACACGGCCCAGACUCCUACGGGAGGCAGCAGGUGGGGAAUCUUGCGCAAGUGGGCGAAAGCCUGACGCAGCGACGCCGCGGUGGGGA